rnacentral:tRNA from 1 species
GGCGAGAUGGCCGAGCGGUCUAAGGCGCCAGAAUCAGGAGAAAGCUUCUACCUUCCCGGUAGAGCUCAUCCGACAGUCGUCAAUCUGGUCCGAAAGGGCGCGGGUUCGAAUCCCGUUCUCGUCA